AUUUACAUAGCUUAAGAAAUAAAUUGAUUUAAAAUAGAACUUGAAACAUCUAAAGAAUUUAGUAUCGGAGAAAGAAAUUUAAUUCAAAGAAAUAAAAGUACUGUAAAGGAAAAAGCUAAACACAAAAAAAUUAGUCUAACCUGCGUACUUUUUGCAUCACGGCUUAGCAAGAACUAACUUAAAAUUUUAAAUUCUCGAAAGUUAGCGAGCUAUUUUUUUCCGGGAAUUAGACCUAAUCUUUUAAAACUACUCAAAAUGUAGCAAAAUUUUAGUAAGAGUGAAAAAUAGAGAUGAAAUUUUAUCCGCGCUAACGAUAGCUAGUUUUCCCAGAAAUGUAUAGAAGUACUAAAAUAAAAAUAAGUCAGAGAAACAUUAGAUUCUAUGGUUUGUUUUAAUAUUAAAAGUUUUUAAGGAUAAGCUUGAAAACACUAGGUAAAAAAUAUAUACAAGAUUUAUAACGUAGGCUUGAAAUUGGCCAUCAUAAAAAACUUAUUAUAAAGUAGUUUUUAUACUUUGUAAAAUAAAUGUAUUUUCCGUUCCAAUCUUUAUGGGAAUAAAAAACCAAACUAAUGAGUCUUUUAACCUAUGCUAAGAUGAGUAUUAAAUAUUAUGGUAGAAAUUAAGAAUAUUACAAUUUUAAUUCUUGUCAGAAAUUGAAAUUUAAAUGAAAUAGAGAGAAGGAACUCGGCAAAAUAAAUUGCUUCGCCUGUUUAUCAAAAACAUGGCUCUCUGCUAAGAGAAAAUAGAGAGUCGAACCUGCCCAGUGAAGAUUUUUUAACGGCCGCGGUACUCUGCCCGUGCAAAGGUAGCAUAAUCAUUUGCCUUAUAAUUGAAGGCUUGUAUGAAUGGUUUGACGAGAGCAAUACUGUCUCCUCUCUAAUUGAUAGAAUUUAACUUUUAGGUGAAGAGGCCUAAAUAAAAUUGAAGGACAAGAAGACCCUGUCGAGCUUAAAAGAAAAGUAGGAAAUGAGCUAUAAAUAUCUUAAAUGUAUUACUACUAAAGCUUUUUGGUUGGGGCGACUGAGGAACAGAAAAAGCUUCUUUAAAUAAAUAUACCUAUUAGUGAUGAUCCAGUAAACCUGAUUAAAAGAAUUAGUUACCGCAGGGAUAACAGCAUAAUCUCUCUUAAGAGACCAAAUCGAAAGAGGGGGUUGUGACCUCGAUGUUGGACUAGAAUAUCCUAAAGAUGCAGAAGUCUUUAAGGGUUGGUCUGUUCGACCAUUAAAAUUCUACAUGAUCUGAGUUC
rnacentral:rRNA from 1 species